GAUGACACAGAACACGAGUAUAAGAUGUGUAACGUUAUCUUUUAUAACACUGGAGAAAUUUUAUUCAAAAUGAAGCACACUGUCGUGCUAACUUUGACGUUAAUUUCUUUCUCAUCCGGUGAAAAAUUUGUGCACAGACCUUGCAACUCGUACAAUAUCAGUAAUUACAAUUUCAAUCUCAAUCAGUUUCAGGGCAAAUGGUACGAAGUGGCGAAAUAUGGCAGUCCGGAUAAAUGUGCCACUUAUUUUUUCACGCCCGUUUCUGGUAGUUUCACAAAUGUAACGCGCUUCAGCGGCACGAAAAAAGAUGGCUAUAAGUAUACGACGUGCCUUUUGGCGCAAAAAAAUCCACACGGCAUGGAGUGUGAGAUGCACAUAGAUAAUAAGACCAUCCCAGCCAAAAUACUCACGACAGACUAUAGCAAUUACGGUGUAAUUUGGACCUGUCGUAAUGUAACAUACGACACAAGUUACCAAAUGCUAGUUGUGUUAAGUAAAUACAAUAAUACGAAGCUUAAUGAUUUGAGUGUGGUUAAACGUGUUUUAAAUGAAACAACUUUGAGCAGUGACCCCGUCAAAUUAUCAGAAACCGAUCAAUCCCCAUUUACGUGUAGUAAAAGUGUUUUUAAUAACACGUUCACCAAUUUUACUUCAAUACAUUCUGGCAACUCUCAAGUAACCACAAAUUAUAUCGUCGUUUGUGCAAUGUUUGCGCUUUUUAUUAUUAAGCUGUAACUUUUACUUUCAAAAUAUUCCAAGUCCCAAUAAAAUUCUAGCACAAGUGCAAAUGUUUAAGAUUUCUGUACACUGUUUUGGUUCCUGUAUAAAUGAUAAAUGUAGCGGAAUUAUUUCACACUUAAUGUAACGUUCAUUUAUCAAAUCCGAGUAUUUUGAAACACAACAUUGUAAAUUACGUUUUAUUUUAAUAUUAGUUCAGAUUAUUAUUUAUAAGUAUGGGAAUAAAAAUAAAUACAUGUGUAAUUUUAA